AUUGAACGCUGGCGGGAUGCCUUACACAUGCCAGUCGAACGGAGUGGCGAACGGGUGAGUAAUGUAGCGGAACGUGCCCAGUAGUGGGGGAUAACUACGCGAAAGAGUAGCUAAUACCGCAUACUAUUGGAGCGGCCGAUAUCGGAUUAGCUAGUUGGUGUGGUAACGGCUCACCAAGGCCACGAGGCAUAGCCGACCCGAGAGGGCGAUCGGCCACACUGGGACUGAGACACGGCCCAUACUCCUACGGGAGGCAGCAGUGGGGAAUUUUGGACAAUGGGUGAAAGCCUGAUCCAGCCAUCCCGCGUGUGCGAAGAAGGCCUUCGGGUUGUAAAGCACUGUUGGCAGGAAAGCGUGACCUGCAGAAUAAGCACCGGCUAACUACGUGCCAGCCGCCGCGGUAAUUC
rnacentral:rRNA from 1 species